rnacentral:tRNA from 1 species
GCGCCGAUAGUCUAAUGGCUAGGACCUCAGCCUUCCAAGCUGAUGAUCUGGGUUCGAAUCCCAGCUUGCAUAAGAAAAUCCCAGUCGGCGCACCA